rnacentral:lncRNA from 1 species
UUACCUUUACUACAAUAGCCACAUGUGUUUUAUCUACUCUUCUUUUUAGGUACUGGAGGGCUGUUAAAUGUAUGUGAACAAAGGAAGAAAAAAUAUUCACGCAAUAUGUUUUGAAAUGGAAUUGAAAACAAAAGAAAAGAACAAAGCAGAGCGUUCAUUGAGAUCAUCAUAUAAAAAGAAAAGAAAGAAAAAAUCCUGCCUGACAGGAUUAAAAUGCCAACGCCUGACAUCANUCAAAAUACUUGGUGUGAAGGACUAUUGCUUUGGCCCUGUGGCAAUUCUGUUUUUCUUAAUAGCCAGUUGUUUCUCAGUUCCAUCAUAACUCAAGUAAAAAGAAGAAAAGUAAUUUGGAGUAAGUCACUUCAGGCCCACAGGCCAAUUCACUUGGAUUCCACUCAGUCUGCGGGUGAGAAACUUCCAUGUGGCUCGCCUUUGGAGCGCCAAGGACCUUGCACGAAGAGGCGAGAGGCCAGUGGGCGGAAUAACGUGUGGGGAGCCAGGCAUGUGAAAAGGUGA